GAUGAACGCUGGCGGCGUGCUUAACACAUGCAAGUCGAGCGAACAGACGAGGAGCUUGCUCCUUUGACGUUAGCCGAGGACGGGAGUGUAACAUGUGUAUACUCUACCUAUCUGAGUGGGAAAACUUCGGGAAACCGGCUCUUAUACCGGAGAAUAUAUUGAUCCGUAUGGUUCAAUAGUGAAAGACGGCUUUGCUGUCACUUAUAGCUGGUUCCGCGCCGUAUGAGCUAGUAGGUAAGGUAACGGCUUAGCAAGGCGACGAUGCGUAGGCGACGGGAGAGAGUGAUCGGCCGCAUGGGAGCUGGGACGCGCACCAGACUCCUACGGGAGGCAGCAGUAUGGUAUCUGCCGCAGUGGUCGAGAGCCUGACGGAGCGGCGCCGCGUGUGUGAUGACGGUCUUCGGAUCGUAAAGCUCUGUUAUGAGGUAAGAACAAAUUUGUAAGUAGCUGUACACUGCUUGACGGUACCUAAUCAGAAAGCCACGGCUAACUACGUG
rnacentral:rRNA from 1 species